rnacentral:piRNA from 1 species
UGACAAUCUGGUAGCUGGAUAUGGAUGA